UACAGAGACUGCAAGCGUUAUUCGGAUUCACUGGGCGUAAAGGGUGCGCAGGCGGCCGUGUGUGUGAGGCGUGAAAGCCUGGAGCUUAACUCCAGAAUUGCACCUCAAACUACACGGCUAGAGCAUUGGAGAGGGUAGCAGAAUUCACGGUGUAGCAGUGAAAUGCGUAGAUAUCGUCUGGAACGCCGAAGGUGAAAACAGCUCGCUGGGGCUGCGCUGACGCUGAGACACGAAAGCCAGGGGAGCGAACGGG
rnacentral:rRNA from 1 species